AAUACUAGUUAUUUUUGUUUUCAGUGCCCAACGUUUGACCGUUCGUCUUAUUAAAAAAAGUUUUAUAAAUACUAUUUAUUUUUUAAUGAUUAUGUUUGUAAUCAUAAGUAUUUUAAACAUCACUUUAAUUUUUAAAUAUUUGUAUUAAAUUUUUGAAUAAGACGAACGGUCAAACAUUGAGCACUGAACGAC
rnacentral:pre_miRNA from 1 species